GACGAACGCUGGCGGCGUGCUUAACACAUGCAAGUCGAACGGUGACGAGGAGCUUGCUCCUCUGAUCAGUGGCGAACGGGUGAGUAACACGUGAGCAACCUGCCCCAGACUCUGGGAUAACAGUUGGAAACAGCUGCUAAUACCGGAUACGAGACGGAGAGGCAUCUCUACCGUCUGGAAAGUUUUUUCGGUCUGGGAUGGACUCGCGGCCUAUCAGCUAGUUGGUGAGGUAAUGGCUCACCAAGGCGACGACGGGUAGCCGGCCUGAGAGGGCGACCGGCCACACUGGGACUGAGACACGGCCCAGACUCCUACGGGAGGCAGCAGUGGGGAAUAUUGCACAAUGGCGAAAGCCUGAUGCAGCGACGCCGCGUGAGGGAUGACGGCCUCGGUUGUAA
rnacentral:rRNA from 1 species